GACGAACGCUGGCGGCGUGCUUAACACAUGCAAGUCGAACGGUGAAGCGCCUUCCUUUUUGGUGGGUGUGGAUGAGUGGCGAACGGGUGAGUAACACGUGAGUAACCUGCCCCCUUCUUCUGGAUAACCGCAUGAAAGUGUGGCUAAUACGGGAUAUUCUGGGUCUGUCGCAUGAUGGGUCUGGGAAAGAUAUUGUUUCGGUGGGGGAUGGGCUCGCGGCCUAUCAGCUUGUUGGUGCGGUGAUGGCCUACCAAGGCGGUGACGGGUAGCCGGCCUGAGAGGGUGGACGGCCAUACUGGGACUGAGACACGGCCCAGACUCCUACGGGAGGCAGCAGUGGGGAAUAGUGCACAAUGGGCGCAAGCCUGAUGCAGCGACGCCGCGUGAGGGAUGGAGGCCUUCGGGUUGUGAACCUCUUUCGCCAGUGAAGCAGGCCUGCCUCGUUUGUGGGUGGGUUGACGGUAGCUGGAGAAGAAGCGCCGGCUAACUACGUG
rnacentral:rRNA from 1 species